GUGGGGAAUUUUGGACAAUGGGCGCAAGCCUGAUCCAGCAAUGCCGCGUGCAGGAAGAAGGCCUUCGGGUUGUAAACUGCUUUUGUACGGAACGAAACGGUCCGGGUUAAUACCCUGGGCUAAUGACGGUACCGUAAGAAUAAGCACCGGCUAACUACGUGCCAGCAGCCGCGGUAAUACGUAGGGUGCAAGCGUUAAUCGGAAUUACUGGGCGUAAAGCGUGCGCAGGCGGUUUUGUAAGACAGUCGUGAAAUCCCCGGGCUCAACCUGGGAAUUGCGCUUGUGACUGCAAGGCUGGAGUGCGGCAGAGGGGGAUGGAAUUCCGCGUGUAGCAGUGAAAUGCGUAGAUAUGCGGAGGAACACCGAUGGCGAAGGCAAUCCCCUGGGCCUGCACUGACGCUCAUGCACGAAAGCGUGGGGAGCAAACAGGAUUAGAUACCCGGGUAGUCC
rnacentral:rRNA from 1 species